rnacentral:RNase_P_RNA from 1 species
GAGGAAAGUCCGGGCUCUAGUUAGAUAAAUAUCGCUGUAUAAAAGACAGUAUAGGCAACUAUGAGGAAAGUGCCACAGAAAAAAACCGCCUAAUAAAAAAUAUAGGUAAGGGUGCAAAGGUGCGGUAAAAGCGUACCAGAAGUAUUAUGACAAUAAUACUAGCUAGGUAAACCCCAUAAAAGAGCAAGGUAAUACAUUCCAAAAUAUAGUCAUAUCUAUAGCUAUAUAUAACUUAAAAAAAUAAUCAUUACCGCCAAAAAUUAUAUGCAAGUAUAAAAUAUAGAUUAAUAACUACCCUUAAAAAAUUCAUACUCUUCUAUACAUAAAAUAGAAAUUUAUAAAUGAUUAAGAACAAAACCCGGCUUAU